rnacentral:lncRNA from 1 species
ACUAGUGGCUCGGCAAUUCAUAGGAGAGUUCACCGUUAAAGAACCUCUAAUCGUACAGUACGCAGCCACCCUGGAAAAAAUCAAAAAACAAUUCACCAAGGUUGAAGUACAGCAGAUUCCAAGAAGUCAAAAUAACUCAGCUGACGCCCUGGCAAAGCUAGCUUCUGCUUUCGAGGAGGGGCAGAGAGAGAUACUAGUUGACUCAGCAUCUACACCUUCAUGUAACUUAGUCACGAUCCAAGCAGAAGACUGGAGGAAACCCUUGAUAGAAUACUUC